rnacentral:rRNA from 1 species
AUUGAACGCUGGCGGCAGGCCUAACACAUACAAGUCGAGCGGAUGACGGGAGCUUGCUCCUUGAUUCAGCGGCGGACGGGUGAGUAAUGCCUAGGAAUCUGCAUGGUAGUGGGGGACAACGUUUCGAAAGGAACGCUAAUACCGCAUACGUCCUACGGGAGAAAGCAGGGGACCUUCGGGCCUUGCGCUAUCAGAUGAGCCUAGGUCGGAUUAGCUAGUUGGUGAGGUAAUGGCUCACCAAGGCGACGAUCCGUAACUGGUCUGAGAGGAUGAUCAGUCACACUGGAACUGAGACACGGUCCAGACUCCUACGGGAGGCAGCAGUGGGGAAUAUUGGACAAUGGGCGAAAGCCUGAUCCAGCCAUGCCGCGUGUGUGAAGAAGGUCUUCGGAUUGUAAAGCACUUUAAGUUGGGAGGAAGGGCAGUAAGCUAAUACCUUGCUGUUUUGACGUUACCGACAGAAUAAGCACCGGCUAACUCUGUGCCAGCCGCCGCAGUAAUAC